rnacentral:lncRNA from 1 species
UUUGAGUGACACUGCAUUAUGGUCAGUUAUUUUUUGGACAAUAGGUCUGAUAUCACAACUUUUGCAAUUCUUUUGUACUUCUUUAGAAACAAAAAAAUAAUCAAUUCUGGUCGCUUCUGUUCGAUCUUUCCUACACCAAGUAAAUUGUCUCGUAUUUUUAUUUUUGUUUCUCCAAAUAUCAAUAAGUUUACAUGAUUUUAUAAGCCCUUUUAAACUUGUUACAGGUUUAUCAAAUUUUUUUGAAGAUUUGGUUUUAUUUUUUGUAUCUAGCAGUGACCAUAUGUCAUUAAAAUCGCCUCCUAGAAUGACUUGCCCGAGUCCGUAUUUAUUAAUAAACACCUUUAUUGUUUUAAAAAAACUAUUUCUUUCUCUCAAUCUGUUGGGUGCAUAGAUAUUAACUAAUGUGUAAAUAUUUUCAUCGAUUUCAAUAUUAAUUAAAUGACUCUCCCUUCUAAAUCUUUAUGUUCAUCUAUGUAUUUGAAUUGGUUUUAUCUUUAUCAUAUCGCUACCCCACGUGAAUUUGUCCCCGUCGCUUCUAAAAAGAUUUUAACCAAAUUCUUUUUCUAAUGUGAACUUCAUUUUAU